ensembl:lncRNA
UCCCAAAAUCAAAAUCUGGGUGCAACUGCCCUGGAAUUCCAGGUGGUCCCAAAAUCUGGGUACCACCUGUUCCCAAAAUCUGGGUACAGCUGCUCUGCAAUUCCAGCUGUGAUCCCAAAAUCUGGGUAUGACUGCCCUGCAAUUGUGAUCCCAAAAUCUGGGUACAGCUGCCCUGCAAUUCCAGAUGUGAUCCCAAAAUCUGGGUAUGACUGCCCUGGAAUUCCAGAUGUGACCCCAAAAUCUGGGUACAGUUGCCCUGGAAUUCCAGAUGUGACCCCAAAAUCUGGGUAUGACUGCCCUGCAAUUCCAGGUGUGAUCCCAAAAUCAAAAUCUGGGUGCAGCUGCCCUGGAAUUGUAAUCCCAAAAUCUGGGUACAGCUGCCCUGCAAUUCCAGCUGUGACCCCAAAAUCUGGCUAUGAUUGCCCUGCAAUUGUGAUCCCAAAAUCUGGGUGCAGCUGCCCUGCAAUUCCAGGUGUGAUCCCAAAAUCUGGGUAUGACUGCCCUGCAAUUGUGAUCCCAAAAUCUGGGUGCAGCUGCCCUGGAAUUCCAGAUGUGACCCCAAAAUCAAAAUCUGGGUGCAGCUGCCCUGCAAUUGUGAUCCCAAAAUCUGGGUAUGACUGCCCUGCAAUUGUGAUCCCAAAAUCUGGGUACAGCUGCCCUGGAACUCCAGAUGUGACCCCAAAAUCUGGGUAUGACUGCCCUGCAAUUGUGACCCCAAAAUCUGGGUAUGACUGCCCUGCAAUUGUGAUCCCAAAAUCUGGGUGCAGCUGCCCUGCAAUUCCAGAUGUGACCCCAAAAUCUGGGUACAGCUGCCCUGGAACUCCAGAUGUGAUCCCAAAAUCUGGGUGCAGCUGCCCUGCAAUUCCAGCUGUGAUCCCAAAAUCUGGGUGCAGCUGCCCUGCAAUUGUGACCCCAAAAUCUGGGUGCAGCUGCCCUGGAACUCCAGGUGUGAUCCCAAAAUCAAAAUCUGGGUGCAACUGCCCUGCAAUUGUGAUCCCAAAAUCUGGGUACAGCUGCCCUGAACCUCCAGAUGUGACCCCAAAAUCUGGGUACAGCUGCCCUGGAAUUGUGAUCCCAAAAUCUGGGUACAGCUGCCCUGGAAUUCCAGCUGUGACCCCAAAAUCUGGGUAUGACUGCCCUGCAAUUGUGAUCCCAAAAUCUGGGUACGACUGCCCUGCAAUUCCAGGUGUGACCCCAAAAUCUGGGUAUGACUGCCCUGGAAUUNCUGAGAAUGGAUUCUUUCCACUCCAAGGGUUUGGAUCCUUAUCUCACCAAGAGUUUGGAUCCUUAUCUCACCAAGGGUUUGGAUUCUCCCAUUCCAAAUGUUUGGAUCCUUAUCUCACCAAAGGUUUGGAUCCUUAUCUCUCCAAGGGUUUGGAUUCUCCCAUUCCAAAUGUUUGGAUCCUUAUCUCAACGAGGGUUUGGAUCCUUAUCUCACCAAGGGUUUGGAUCCUUAUCUCACCAAGAGUAUGGAUCCUUAUCUCACCAAGGGUUUGGAUCUUUAUCUCACCAAAGGUUUGGAUUCUCCCUCUCCAAAGGUUUGGAUUCUUAUCUCUCCAAGGGUUUGGAUCCUUCUCACUGAAAAUGUUUGGAUUCUCCCUCACCAAGGGUUUGGAUUCUCCCUCUCCAAAUGUUUGGAUCCUUAUCUCACCAAGGGUUUGGAUCCCUAUCUCACCAAGGGUUUGGAUCCUUAUCUCACCAAGGGUUUGGAUUCUCUCAUUCCAAGGGAUUGGAUCCUUGUCACUGAAAAUGUUUGGAUCCUUAUCUCACCAAGGGUUUGGAUCCUUAUCUCACCAAAUGUUUGGAUCCUUAUCUCACCAAGGGUUUGGAUCCUUAUCUCACCAAGGAUUUGGAUCCUUGUCACUGAGAAUGUUUGGAUUCUCCCUCUCCAAGGGUUUGGAUCCUUAUCUCACCAUGGGUUUGGAUCCUUAUCUCACCAAGGGUUUGGAUUCUCCCACUCCAAGGGUUUGGAUCCUUAUCUCUCCAAGGGUUUGGAUCCUUAUCUCACCAAAUGUUUGGAUCCUUAUCUCUCCAAGGGUUUGGAUCCUUCUCACUGAGAAUGGAUUCUUUCCACUCCAAGGGAUUGGAUCCUUAUCUCACCAAGGGAUUGGAUCCUUAUCUCACCAAGGGUUUGGAUCCUUAUCUCACCAAGGGUUUGGAUUCUCCCACUCCAAAUGCUUGGAUUCUCCCUCUCCAAGGGUUUGGAUUCUUAUCUCAUCNGUUUCCGUGUCCUGAAAUGCAAUCCCACAGUGUGGAAGCCAGGUGAGCCUUCCAGGGGAAAACAGAAUUCCAGGAGUUCCCUGGGAUGGGCAAUCUGCAAAAUCAGGGUCUGAGCUGGGUUAAAUCGGGGUUUAAACCCCUCUGAGAAUUCCCAGAGCGUUCCUGAAGGGCUGCAAUCCACACCUGCACCCCCUUCCCGGCAGGAAACCCCGCUAAUCUGCCUGGAGACACAGAAAUCUCCAUUUUUUUUUCUCUCAAAAACCCUGAUUUUCCCCAGCUUUGGGAGCUGUGGGAAGAGCUCCAGAAUUCCUGCUCCCUCUGGGGCAGCUCCGUGCCCGGGAUCUGGGGCACUGCUGCCUUCCCUGGCACCCCAAAUCUGCUGUUUUUUGCCUUAUUUUCAUCCUCCUCCUCCUCCUGGAAUCCUGGCUCCCGUUGGAGUUUUGGGCAGCUGGAAUUUGUAGGGCAAGGAGGGUUUGUUGUGUGAGGGUUUGAGCACAAGAAUUGAACGUUUUUCAUUGUUUGUUUGCUUUCAGUGCUGGGCUGGGUUGAUGCUCAGCUCCCACUGUGUGGGAGAUGUGGAAUAUUUAUUGCAAUUUCUGUUUUCCCAGCUUUGGGUAACUCUGGGCUGUUUUGUUGUUUUUUUUUUUUUCCUUAAAUUUCAGCUCCAGGAAGGAUUUGUUAAUAUAAAUUUAAUUUUUGCAGCUUUUGAAAGAAAUAUUUUUAAAGUUCAGUGCAGAGCAGGGAGGAUUUAAAUGGGAAUUUAAGAUAUGCCCCAGCAAGCAGGGGGUUCAUUCACAGCAUAGAAUCUGAGCAGGAAUUAAAAAGUAAAGGAAUUAAAGCAGGAAUUAAAAUUUAAGCAGGAAUUCCUGAAUAUUUUGAACACGUAAAGUGGUGAAAUAUCCCGUGUCCAUCUACACAUGCAUCCAAAAGGGAUAAGAAAAGGAGAAAUUAUCGAAAUUAUGGUUUAAAUCCAAAGGAAUCUGGUUCAGAAACUUGCCAGUGCCAGCAGCACUGGGAGUCACCUCAAUCCCCAGGAAUAAAUCCAGCAGUUCUUGUCCUGUCCUGCCUUUG